rnacentral:tRNA from 1 species
ACGUAGAUGGCUUAGUUGGUCAGAGCGCUUGGACAGCUUAAAAGAAGCGCGAGUUCAAAUCCCGCUACGUA